UUUAUGAAAAAGUGGUAUGAUGAGGAGUACGAAUUUGAGAUCGAGGUGACCGGAUUUCUCCGGGGGGAGCGCACGGAGCGGUACUGCCGCAACGUGGAGUAGGUGUGGGACUGGUAUACCUGUACCUAUGGCUGUCCCGUGAACGACCAGGGAUAUGGCAUCUGCUCCAAGACCAUGAUGAUGCUCUACCCCAUUAUGGAGGCGGUGCGCAGCGGCGGCGAUUUGGAGAACAUCGGCGGAAGCGGGCGGUAUAUCAAGGACGUCGUCUGCCCGGAUGGCUGCGUGCUGUUCCGUCUGACGGCAAGACCCCUGGGAAACGAGAAUUUUUUCAAGGGAAGAUUUUUUGAUUGAGCCGGACGCCUGUUCGAAGUGAAAACCCCCCUCUUCCAAACUUGGAAGAGGGGGGUUUUGUUUGGUUACUUCUGAGGCUCGUCAUCGCUGCCGCAGCCACAGCCGCAGUCACAGCUGUCAUCGGCGUGAUCCUCGGCCGCAGCGUCGUGGAUGUCCACCUCAACGUCCUGGAUCUCCUCGUCGGAUAGGUUACCAGCGGCCUUGAUGUCCGCGAUGCGCUCGUUGUUGUAUUCAAUCUUAGCCUGGGACUGACUGAUUUUCUCACACAGAAGGUUAAGGACUUAAGGUCCGGAGCCGAAGCGAAAGCGAGUGUUAAUAGCACGAAGAAUCACGUAUCAUAGACCCGAAACCGGGUGAUCUAUCCAUGUCCAGGAUGAAGCUGCCGUAAGAGGUAGUGGAGGUCCGAACACACAUCCGUUGAAAAGGGUGGUGAUGAGGUGUGGAUAGGGGAGAAAUUCCAAUCGAACCCGGAGAUAGCUGGUUCUCCUCGAAAUAGCUUUAGGGCUAGCCUCGUAUUAGUUUAGCGGAGGUAGAGCACUGAAUUCCUAAGGGGGCGUCAAAGCUUACCAAGGGAUAUCAAACUCCGAAUGCCGCAUAAAUGAUGUACGGGAGUCAGACUGCACGAGAUAAGUUGGGCAGUCAAAAGGGAAAGAGCCCAGACCUACAGCUAAGGUCCCAAAGUGUGUGUUAAGUGGAAAAGGAUGUGGGAUUUCAGAGACAACUAGGAUGUUGGCUUAGAAGCAGCCACACAUUCAAAGAGUGCGUAAUAGCUCACUAGUCGAGAGGUCCUGCGCCGAAAAUGUCCGGGGCUAAAACACAACACCGAAGCUUAGGAAUGUAGUAAUACAUUGGUAGAGGAGCAUUCUUAAAGGAACGAAGCAGUACCGAUAAGGAGCUGUGGACUUUUAAGAAGAGAGAAUGCCGGAAUGAGUAGCGAGAUGGAGGUGGGAAUCCUCCAGGCCGAAUAUCCAAGGUUUCCAGAGUAAAGCUGAUCUGCUCUGGGUAAGUCGGGGCCUAAGGUAAGGCUGAGAAGCGUAGCCGAUGGACAACAGGUUGAGAUUCCUGUACCGCGUAUCAUCAGAACUGUGGGGACACAGAAGGACAGCACAUCCCGGGAAUGGGAAGACCGGGGCAAGCAGGGUAGGAGCUAAACAGGCAAAUCCGUUUAGCAAUCCGAAGCUGUGAUGCGGAGCGAACAGAAGUAGCGAAGUGUGCGAUUCCAGCUGUCAAGAAAAGCCGCUAUUGUGUGAUACGUGCCCGUACCGUAAACCGACACAGGUAGAUGAGGAGAGAAUCCUAAGGCCGGCGGGAGAAGCAUUGUUAAGGAACUCGGCAAAAUGACCCUGUAACUUCGGGAGAAAGGGUGCCUGGGAAACCAGGCCGCAGAGAAUAGGCUCAAGCAACUGUUUAGCAAAAACACAGGUCUAUGCAAAACCGUAAGGUGAGGUAUAUGGGCUGACGCCUGCCCGGUGCUGGAAGGUUAAGAGGAGGGGUUAGCGCAAGCGAAGCUCUGAAUUGAAGCCCCAGUAAACGGCGGCCGUAACUAUAACGGUCCUAAGGUAGCGAAAUUCCUUGUCGGGUAAGUUCC
rnacentral:rRNA from 1 species